ACUCUCCUCUUCCUUUCUUCUUUUUCUUUUCGUUUUCCCGCUCUAUCUGAAUUCCUCCCUCUUUCUUUCCCUCGUUUUGUUUCUCAUAACCUCCAAUCCCCAAUCCCUAAUCUCCUAAACAAAAAAAUCCUGAAUUUUCAUACUAUCUCUCUCUCUCACGAUUGUAAGUAGCGGCAGUGGGAAAGUGAAAGGAAUAGUGGUGGUGUUCGCAUGGAUGUUGAGUCUAGAGAGGCAUUUGAACAACUGCGUCUAGCUCUACUCUCCUCUCGACUGGAAUUCCUUCUCUCAAAUUGCGUUACGGUCUAAUUUGUUGAGCCGUGAAUCGAUAAGGCAAGCUAACAUUUCUUCUAGGGCUAGGCCAAUUGCGACGCCUAAUGAUUUGCCCUAUUACAUUGGGUUUCCGAAGAUUCUUACGAUUCGUUGAAGAAUCCCAAUGGUAUCAUUAAGCUCAGAUUAUUAGAAAAUAGGCUAUCACUGGAUUUGAUUGAGAAGUGGUUUUCGCAAAAUUUCAAUGAUUCUAUACUUAAAAGAGGAGGAAGUAAGGGUUUGAGUAUUAGUGGAAUUGCAACAUACCAACUAUUCGAUGGAAUUCCAAAACUAAACGAGGACAAGAACUUCAAUAGUAUGCCAAAGCGUCAAAAAAGUCUCAAAAGCAUCGGUUUAGUAAAACACAAGAGACCAACAGAGGUUGAGCAUUCCAUGAAAGUUGCACGAACCAAAACAGGAAGUUGAAGAUCCAAAGGCUAUUGCUAUAUUCAGGGAACAACUCAACCACUUACAGGCAAUCUUUUUUUUCUCUAUGAGCUGUUAUUGAUGCCAAAUUUGUAUGACUCUCAUUCUACAAGUACUUUUGCAUUUUUUAGAAAGUAGAACGUUAUCGGAUUUGUUUUAGUAAAUCUGUAAUACAUGGAUAGGGCCUAUUUGCAUGUCAGAAUAUUCAAGAAUAUUUGGAAAAAGUCUAUUUCUUUGUA